AAUGAACGCUGGCGGCGUGCCUAACACAUGCAAGUCGGAUGUGCCCGCAAGGGUGCAUGGCAGACGGGUGAGUAACGCGUGGGGAAUCUACCUUUUAGUGGGGAAUAACGCUCCGAAAGGAGUGGUAAUACCGCAUGUGACCAUCGGCUGGGAUGCUGAUGGUGAAACCCUGGGACCUUCGGGCCAGGGGCUAGAAGAGGAUCCUGCGUCUGAUUAGCUAGUUGGCGGGGUAACGGCCCACCAAGGCGACGAUCAGUAGCCGGCCUGAGAGGGUGAUCGGCCACACUGGAACUGAGACACGGUCCAGACUCCUACGGGAGGCAGCAGUGGGGAAUUUUGCGCAAUGGACGAAAGUCUGACGCAGCAACGCCGCGU
rnacentral:rRNA from 1 species